AUUCCAGAGAGGGGUCAAAUCCAUUGAAAGCAUAAAACAUGAAAAAAGUUCACAGAAAGGUAUAUCCUUUUACCCAUGUUAGGGAUUGUAAUCUGGAAGCUAUAUCAGAUAAUAUAAAAUAAAAAGAAAAUUCAAAAGGAUUCUACCUAGAUCCAGAUCCAGCAUAAAUAAAUAAAUUGGAGGCUCCUUCAUCACUUCCAAUGCACUUCCAAUGCAAAUGGAUUAUAACACAGACCAAAUAUUCUAAAAUAG
rnacentral:misc_RNA from 1 species